GAUGAAGAACGUAGCGAAAUGCGAUAAGUAAUGUGAAUUGCAGAAUUCAGUGAAUCAUCGAAUCUUUGAACGCACAUUGCGCCCGCCAGUAUUCUGGCGGGCAUGCCUGUCCGAGCGUCAUUUCAACCCUCGAACCCCUCCGGGGGGUCGGCGUUGGGGAUCGGCCCUUUACGGGGCCGGCCCCGAAAUACAGUGGCGGUCUCGCCGCAGCCUCUCCUGCGCAGUAGUUUGCACACUCGCAUCGGGAGCGCGGCGCGUCCACAGCCGUUAAACACCCCAAACUUCUGAAAUGUUGACCUCGGAUCAGGUAGGAAUACCCGCUGAACUUAAGCAUAUCAAUAAGCGGGGA
rnacentral:misc_RNA from 1 species